rnacentral:rRNA from 1 species
UACGGGGGGAGCAAGCGUUGUUCGGAUUUACUGGGCGUAAAGGGCGCGUAGGCGGUCAGUGCAAGUCAGUUGUGAAAUCUCCGAGCUUAACUCGGAACGGUCAACUGAUACUGCUCGACUAGAGUGCGGAAGGGGCAACUGGAAUUCUUGGUGUAGCGGUGAAAUGCGUAGAUAUCAAGAGGAACACCUGCGGCGAAGGCGGGUUGCUGGGCCGACACUGACGCUGAGGCGCGAAAGCUAGGGGAGCGAACGGG